GAUGAACGCUAGCGAUAGGCCUAACACAUGCAAGUCGAGGGGCAUCACAUGAAGUAGCAAUACGGAUGGUGGCGACCGGCGCACGGGUGAGUAACACGUAUGCAACCUGCCUUCAACAAGGGGAUAACCCGUUGAAAGACGGACUAAUACCCUAUAACACAGGGGUCCCGCAUGGGAAUAUUUGUUAAAGGACAACCGGUUGAAGAUGGGCAUGCGUUCCAUUAGCUAGUUGGCGGGGUAACGGCCCACCAAGGCAACGAUGGAUAGGGGAACUGAGAGGUUUAUCCCCCACACUGGUACUGAGACACGGACCAGACUCCUACGGGAGGCAGCAGUGAGGAAUAUUGGUCAAUGGACGCAAGUCUGAACCAGCCACGUCGCGUGAAGGAAGACGGCCCUACGGGUUGUAAACUUCUUUUAUACGGGAAUAAAGUGCCCCACGCGUGGGGUUUUGCAAGUACCUUGCGAAUAAGGAUCGGC
rnacentral:rRNA from 1 species